GAUGAACGCUGGCGGCGUGCCUAAUACAUGCAAGUCGAGCGAACGGACGAGAAGCUUGCUUCUCUGAUGUUAGCGGCGGACGGGUGAGUAACACGUGGAUAACCUACCUAUAAGACUGGGCUAACUUCGGGAAACCGGAGCUAAUACCGGAUAAUAUUUUGAACCGCAUGGUUCAAAAGUGAAAGACGGUCUUGCUGUCACUUAUAGAUGGAUCCGCGCUGCAUUAGCUAGUUGGUAAGGUAACGGCUUACCAAGGCAACGAUGCAUAGCCGACCUGAGAGGGUGAUCAGCCACACUGGAACUGAGACACGGUCCAGACUCCUACGGGAGGCAGCAGUAGGGAAUCUUCCGCAAUGGGCGAAAGCCUGACGGAGCAACGCCGCGUGAGUGAUGAAGGUCUUCGGAUCGUAAAACUCUGUUAUUAGGGAAGAACAUAUGUGUAAGUAACUGUGCACAUCUUGACGGUACCUAAUCAGAAAGCCACGGCUAACUACGUG
rnacentral:rRNA from 1 species